CAGUCGCCGCGGGAAAACAGAGGAUGCAAGCGUUAUCCGGAAUGAUUGGGCGUAAAGCGUCUGUAGGUGGCUUUUCAAGUCCGCCGUCAAAUCCCAGGGCUCAACCCUGGACAGGCGGUGGAAACUACCAAGCUGGAGUACGGUAGGGGCAGAGGGAAUUUCCAGUGGAGCGGUGAAAUGCGUUGAGAUCGAAAAGAACACCAACAGCGAAAGCACUCUGCUGGGACGACACUGACACUAAGAGACGAAAGCUAGGGGAGCAAAUGGGAUUAGAUACCCCUGUAGUCCCUGUCUCUUAUAA
rnacentral:rRNA from 1 species